AUCCUGGCUCAGAUUGAACGCUGGCGGCAUGCCUUACACAUGCAAGUCGAACGGCAGCGCGGGAGCAAUCCUGGCGGCGAGUGGCGAACGGGUGAGUAAUACAUCGGNACGUGUCCUGUAGUGGGGGAUAGCCCGGCGAAAGCCGGAUUAAUACCGCAUACGCUCUACGGAGGAAAGGGGGGGAUCUUAGGACCUCUCGCUACAGGGGCGGCCGAUGGCGGAUUAGCUAGUUGGUGGGGUAAAGGCCUACCAAGGCGACGAUCCGUAGCUGGUCUGAGAGGACGACCAGCCACACUGGGACUGAGACACGGCCCAGACUCCUACGGGAGGCAGCAGUGGGGAAUUUUGGACAAUGGGGGCAACCCUGAUCCAGCAAUGCCGCGUGUGUGAAGAAGGCCUUCGGGUUGUAAAGCACUUUUGUCCGGAAAGAAAUCAUCCUGGUUAAUACCUGGGGUGGAUGACGGUACCGGAAGAAUAGCACCGG
rnacentral:rRNA from 1 species